rnacentral:rRNA from 1 species
GACGAACGCUGGCGGCGUGCUUAACACAUGCAAGUCGAACGGAAAGGCCCUGCUUUUGUGGGGUGCUCGAGUGGCGAACGGGUGAGUAACACGUGAGUAACCUGCCCUUGACUUUGGGAUAACUUCAGGAAACUGGGGCUAAUACCGGAUAGGAUCUCCUGCUGCAUGGUGGGGGGUGGAAAGUUUCGGCGGUUGGGGAUGGACUCGCGGCUUAUCAGCUUGUUGGUGGGGUAGUGGCUUACCAAGGCUUUGACGGGUAGCCGGCCUGAGAGGGUGACCGGCCACAUUGGGACUGAGAUACGGCCCAGACUCCUACGGGAGGCAGCAGUGGGGAAUAUUGCACAAUGGGCGGAAGCCUGAUGCAGCAACGCCGCGUGCGGGAUGACGGCCUUCGGGUUGUAAACCGCUUUCGCCUGUGACGAAGCGUGAGUGACGGUAAUGGGUAAAGAAGCACCGGCUAACUACGUG